GAUCAAUAUAGUUAACUUAGACAUAAAAAAAAAUCCGGAUGUUUCGGGACGACACCCCCCACCUCUUGAGGGUAUGAAGGCUCUAGAAAUGCCCUCCAACGGACGUUACGACGAAGUCUUGGUCUUCUUGGUCCAAAAUGAUGCUCAAUCGGCCUUGUUUUGCCGAUAACUCUUGACCCACUUGACGAAUGUGAAAUGCGACUUCGCCCCCGCGUUUUGGCACCUACCAAUUAAGUUAGAGGAGGGUCAAAUGAGAUCAAUCCUCUACUUUUCCGAAAAACCCUAUUUUGGUGCCCUAGG
rnacentral:lncRNA from 1 species